AUUGAACGCUGGCGGCAGGCCUAACACAUGCAAGUCGAGCGAGCGGCGGACGGGUGAGUAAUGUAUGGGGACUGCCCGAUAGAGGGGGAUAACUAAUGGAAACGGUGGCUAAUAACGCAUACUAUCGGAUAACCCAUAUGGGAUUAGCUAGUAGGUGAGGUAACGGCUCACCUAGGCGACGAUCUCUAGCUGGUCUGCGAGGAUGAUCAGCCACACUGGGACGGAGACAAGGCCCAGACUCCUACGGAGGCAGCAGUGGGGUAUAUUGCACAAUGGGCGCAAGCCUGAUGCAGCCAUGCCGCGUGUAUGAAGAAGGCCUUAGGGUUGUAAAGUACGUUCAGCCGGGAGGCGUUACCCGCAGAAGAAGCACCGGCUAACGCCGUGCCAGCCGCCGCGGUAAUUC
rnacentral:rRNA from 1 species